rnacentral:tRNA from 1 species
ACCUGGGUAGCUCAGUCGGUUAAGCAUCUGGCUUUGGCCCAGGUCGUGAUCUUGUGGAUCGUGAGUUCGAGCCCCACAUCAGGUU